CAAAAUAGUCAAUGCAGUAGAAACUCCUCUCUCCUUUGCAUUCUGAUGAAACGAGUGUUCUGGAGAACAAGAGGACCGGGAAUCAAUCCGUCCCCUUCCGUUUUCUCCGACUGAAUAUUGCUUCUGUUGGGGUCAGCUGCUGUCCCCGCAUUCCCAGGGUCCUCACAGAAGGGGGAUGUGCAGAGCGGAGCGAGGAUCAAGCUCCCUGGAGACUUCCGCCAUAAAAGUGUCUUCUCUCAUUUUCAAGCCAAUAUUUCAUUCAAAUCUCAAUCACAUCCAAAGACCCUGGAAAUAUUUGUAGGCUCGAAGCAUUGUGCCAGGAGUACCCAAUGGAUAAGACAACUUCAUCCCUCCAGCAGGACAACAGACCACAGGACCAGAUCUUCCAUGAGCGCAGAACUGGGAACUAGCAAAAGAUACUAGCCAGGGGGGACAAGAACAAGGGCGUGUGUAUGUGCGUACAUACAUAUGUGUGCGUUUGCUUCCAGUUAAUUUACCUCCUCUUUUUCUUUCUUUACUUCACUGUUACAUACAGCAUAUGUUUGUAGUGGCUACAUUUACCUUCUAAUCCACAGUGUGCAUCAUAUCCACAUGGUACUAUGACAGAACCAGAGGAAGCACAGGCUUUCCUCGACGUUCUGAACUUGGAGCCAGAUGCAUUUGUCAUGAGUUAUUGGGUGCUGAAUGAUGAGGAGGCUCAUCUUCAUUUGCAUAUGUAAUAGUGCUUCUUUAUUUCAGCAGUUCUGGAAUUGCUUGUACACAAAGCAGGAGGCCUGGUUGUUGGGCGGUCAAGGGUGGACUGCAAUGACUGCCUGUCGUGUUUGCUUGCCUGGCCUGGCCUUCAUUCUUCUGUCUUCUGAUACAGCAGCGCCAGUAUUGGUUGGGAACCUGCCCCCUCCUAUUGAAUAUAGUUUUGAAAAAACUCUAGGUGAAAAUGUUCCCCCUCUCCUGCCAAGGGCUGGGGAUAUGACAAGUUAGAUGGAGCAAACACUCUCUCUCUGAAAUUGGAAUUCUUAGCAGAAUUACACAAACGUUUCAAAUGGUGGAGCUGGGCUAUCCAGGUGGAAAAGCCUGAUGAAAUUGUCAUUUUGUUCCUCUUUCCUAGGUCCUUGUUCUUGUUCACCUUCCACUUUGAUCCUACGAACUACUUCAUAGCCUUCUA
rnacentral:lncRNA from 1 species